AAUAGAUACCCUGGUAGUCCACGCCGUAAACGAUGUCGACUUGGAGGUUGUUCCCUUGAGGAGUGGCUUCCGGAGCUAACGCGUUAAGUCGACCGCCUGGGGAGUACGGCCGCAAGGUUAAAACUCAAAUGAAUUGACGGGGGCCCGCACAAGCGGUGGAGCAUGUGGUUUAAUUCGAUGCAACGCGAAGAACCUUACCUACUCUUGACAUCCAGAGAACUUUCCAGAGGUGGAUUGGUGCCUUCGGGAACUCUGAGACAGGUGCUGCAUGGCUGUCGUCAGCUCGUGUUGUGAAAUGUUGGGUUAAGUCCCGCAACGAGCGCAACCCUUAUCCUUUGUUGCCAGCGGUCCGGCCGGGAACUCAAAGGAGACUGCCAGUGAUAAACUGGAGGAAGGUGGGGAUGACGUCAAGUCAUCAUGGCCCUUACGAGUAGGGCUACACACGUGCUACAAUGGCGUAUACAAAGAGAAGCGACCUCGCGAGAGCAAGCGGACCUCAUAAAGUACGUCGUAGUCCGGAUUGGAGUCUGCAACUCGACU
rnacentral:rRNA from 1 species